rnacentral:lncRNA from 10 species
GGGUGGGAAGACAAUGGAAGUCGGCAUGUGUGAAGGCCUAGAGGCUUUAAGCAGCCAAAUUUUGUCCAGGGAACUGAAGGGUGUUUAAUAUUGACUGAAGCACAGAGUAUGGGACGCAAGAAGAAACAGAGCUUGUUGGAGGUCAGUUCAUUUAGGACUUUGUGGUCAUGCUGGAGUAUUCACAGAUCCUCUGGGCCUGGCUUUGUUCUCAGUAUGAGGAAUACAUAGAAUCGAAUCAGAUCUUAAUGCUCUUUAAUCCAAGGCCUUAAAUAGCUCACAAUCAGGUAGGAUAGACACAUUUUGACAAUGGUAGUGCAGCAUGAUAAAUAUGAUAAUAAAGAACUGAUUUUCAUGGGAAUUUAUAGGAGUGAUAAUUAAGAAAUAACAUUAUUCCAUCAAUUGCCUUUUAAGUUAUUUCACAUUGCUUCCAAAUUCUUACUAAACAAGCCAAUUGUAAGACUAAGUUUAGAUUAAUGUUACUUUUAGACACACAGAAAAAUGAUUUAGCCAUUUAGGCUAAAAAGCAAUUUCUAUUACAGUUCUUGCUCUUGCUUUUUGCCUCUAUACUACAUCUUUCUUUUUCUUUUUUUUUUUUUUUUUGAGAUGGAGUCUCACUCUGUGGUCCAGGUUGGAGUGUAGUGGUGUGAUCUCGGCUCACUACAACCUCUGCCUCCCAGCUUCAAGCAAUUCUCGUGCCUCAGCCUCCUGAGUAGCUGGGACUACAGGCAUGUGCCACCACGCCCGGCUAAUUUUUGUAUUUUUCAUAGAGAUGGGAUUUUACCACGUUGGCCAGGCUGGUCUCGAACUCCUGACUUCAGUGAUCCGUCCACCUCGGCCUCCCAAAGUGUUGGGAUUAUAGGCAUAAGCCACUGCGCCUGGCUAAUACUACUUCUUUCUUUUCAACUCUCACUUAUCCUUUAAGACUCUGGUGAGCUUUCCCCCUUCCACUUUACCUCAAGUAGAGUUAGAAAUCUUUCCCUCUAUGUCCCUGAAGGACCCUGGGAUCUCUAUUAUAGCACUUAUCACAAUAUACUACAAGUGUUUAUUUUCCUGUAUCCCCUCUAGGCUUUUAUUUCCCCCAAUAGAGUUCUGUAUUUUUUUAUUUUUUAAGAAAAAGGGUCUUGCUCUAUUGCCCAGACUGGGGUGCAGGGGCACAAUCAUAGCUUACUGUAAUUACUCAUGGGCUCAAGAGAUCCUCCCACCUCAGCCCCCUGAAUAGCUAAGACUACAACCACACACCACCAUGCCAGCUAAUUUAUUUAUUUUUGUAGAGAUGGGGUCUUGCUAUGUUGCCCAGGCUGGUCUUGAACCUUUGGCCUCAAGUGAUCCUCUUGCCUGGGCCUCCCAAAGCACUGGGAUUAUAGGAAUGAAUAGUGCCUGGCCUCCCACUAGACUUAAGCAUAGAGAUUUUGUCUUGCUCAUGCUUCAAUCUGUCAUUCGAUAAAUAUGUGUCAGGUACCUACUAUAUGCCAGACAUCAGGCUAGGUGCUGCAGAUUCAGUGACGACCUGGAUAGACUCAGUUCUUGCUCUUGUAGAGCUUAUAGUCUAGUGCAGAAGGUUGACAAGCAAAUGGGCAAGAAGAGUAUGUAUGAAAAAUGUUAUGAUGAGGAAAGUGUCAAGUGCCAUGGGAAGCCCAGAGCAGGUGUACCUAACUUUCUUUAGGGGGCAAAUGGAAGUCUUUCAGAAGGAAGCAAUUUAAGCUGAGAAUUGAAGAAAAAGUACAAGUUAGUUAGUCAAUGUGGCAGUCAUGGGUCAGAGGUGGGAGAGAGCACAACACAUUCCAGAAACUGAAAGAGGACUGGGCACGGUGGCUCAUGCCUAUAAUCCCAACACUUUGGGAGGCUGAAGUGGGAGGAUUGCUUGAGUCCAGGAGUUUGAGACCAGCCUGGGCAACAUAGCUAGAUUUUAUCUCUCCAAAAACAUAUUAAAAAUUAGCCAGGUGUGAUGAUGGGCACCUGAAGUCCUACGUACUCAGGCUGGAGGCUGGAGGCUGAGGCAGGAGGCUCAUUUGAGCCCAGGAGUUCCAGGCUACAGUGAACUAUGAUCAUGCCACUACUCUCCAACCUGAGUGACAGGGUGAGACCCUGUCUCCAGCAAAACAAAACAAAGAAAUUCACAGAGCAGUCGAGGUUAGGGGCAAGCAGUGAAGAUUGUGUGAAGUGGGGUGUGGCCGGGGUGAGGAAAACAGAGAUUGGUGUUUAGUGUGAUAAUUAUACACAUAGAAAACUCUAUGUAAAGUGUUUGUUAAAUGAAUGGAUGAGCCAUUCCAAAACCUGAGAAAGAAAGACAUUUGGGAAAAGCAAAUUUGUUUGUGAUUGUUCAUUCCUUUGUUCACUGGGAGGCAUUGUAGUGUGUUGGCUAAAAGUCUGGACUCACACCAACUGCUUGGGUUUGAAUCCUGGCUUUGACAGUUAAUAGCUGAGUGACCUUAGACAAAUUACAUAACUUUUCUAUGUGCCAUUUUCCUCAUCUGUAAGAGAGAAAUGAUAAUAAUUCAUAGAAUUGUCAUGAAGAUUAAACAAGUUAAUAAUAUUUGUAAAGCACUUGGAAUAAUGCCUAGAAUUAAGCACUGACUGUUUGCUAUUAUUAUUCCUCCAUUCAUUGAAACAUUUAUUGAGGGCCAAGUACCAUGCUAGGUGCUGUGAAAAUAUGUGGCUUCAGCCAUGGAGGAGGACCAUAAAAUCUGGUGAGGGAGAAGAUUCAUAAAUAAGCAAUUACAACACAAUGUGAUCAAGUGAGGCGAUAGUGGUAAAUCCUGCAGAACUGAACAAGACAGAGUGACUCAUUCUCUCCAAAGAAGCCAAGGGAAGCUUCAGAGAGAAGAAUGUAUUUAAGUUGGGUGACGCAGAAUGAACAGAGUUUGGCAGCAGACAAAAGCAGUAUGGUUUAUCAGGCCAAGGCAUGAGAAUGGUUUGAACCUAGAAGGU